GGACCAUCGACUGUAUGAUUGAUAACAGCUGAUACUCGCACAUUAGUUUCUAUCAUGGCCAAGCAAACCACUUGCUCUGUUAUGAAGGUGCACAUGAUCUGCCUUCUCCAAAAGAUGCCAGUAGGUGUGGUUAAAAUCAUCAGUUAUUGGAGCCACCUGGGCCCGGUGUUCUCCAGUAUAAAAGCAUGUCUCAUGUUCUGCACUGUGGGCUAGAGAGGAGGGAAACCCUGUUCCCUAUGCUCCAUGCUCCUCCUUAUUUUUGUUUCUUUCACCAUACAACACUCCACUCACUAUUUCUUCAAGCAUGCAUACCUGCUGACAUGACUGACCUAUUGAUUAUCACACUUCAUAGGAUUAUUUGAAUAUCAAGUUGUUUCUGUUUGUUUAGAAAUAAAAGUAAUGGUAC